AGCCUACCCUAGCCCAACCACCACAUACCCAAUAUAAUCAACAAUUCACUCUACUACAGAACUAAAACAUUCUACCAACUUAGUAUAGGCGAUAGAAAAGAAUGCUUUGGAGCUAUAGAUACAGUACCGUAAGGGAAUGAUGAAAUAAUAAUGAAAACACAACUGCCAAAUAGCAAAGAUGAACUCUUGUACCUUUUGCAUCAUGAUUUAGCAAGACUAACCAAGCAAAACGAAUUUUAGUUUGCCUCCCCGAAACCCAAGCGAGCUACUUACAAGCAGCUAUCUAUGAGCACACCCGUCUCUGUCGCAAAGAGUGGGACGACUUGUCAGUAGAAGUGAAAGCCUAUCGAGCUGGGUGAUAGCUGGUUGCCUGUGAAAUGAAUAUAAGUUCCCCCUUGAUUUACCUUCCCCUAGACACUCACCUACCUAUUAUGCGAAAAUCAAGGGCAAUUUAAAGGGGGUACAGCCCCUUUAAAAAGGAUACAACCUCCUCAAGUGGAUAAGUCAAAUUUAAUUCCUACCCACCAAACUGUAGGCCCUCAAGCAGCCAUCAAUAAAGAGUGCGUCAAAGCUCCACAACUAAAAAUCCUAAGACACUUCGACUCCCUCAUCUACAACAGGCCAAUCUAUCCUUAUAGAAGAAUUAAUGCUAAAAUAAGUAACCUGGUCUCACCCUCUAAAGCGCAAGCUUACAUGCCCACAUUAUUAACAACAUAAUCAGUACCCCAAUACAAACAAGACUAUGUACUAAAACCCCUGUUAACCCAACUCAGGAGCGCCUAAUAGAAAGAUUAAAACCUGUAAAAGGAACUAGGCAAAUCAGAGGCCCGACUGUUUACCAAAAACAUAGCCUUUAGCUAACCAAGUAUUAAAGGUGACGCCUGCCCAGUGACAUACGUUCAACGGCCGCGGUAUCCUAACCGUGCGAAGGUAGCGCAAUCAAUUGUCUCAUAAAUCGAGACCUGUAUGAAUGGCUAAACGAGGUCUCAACUGUCUCUUACAGGUAAUCGGUGAAAUUGAUCUUCCCGUGCAAAAGCAGGAAUAAAAUCAUAAGACGAGAAGACCCUGUGGAACUUUAAAAUAAAAGGCCAACUUCCACCAACCCAAACCUGACAGGCCCACUAUCAUAAACCAUGACCUAUAUUUUUUGGUUGGGGCGACCUUGGAGAAAAACAAACCCUCCAAAAAUAAGAUCACACAUCUUUACCAAGAAUAACACUUCAACGUACUAACAGUAACCAGACCCAGUACAACUGAUUAAUGAACCAAGCUACCCCAGGGAUAACAGCGCAAUCUCCUUCAAGAGCCCCUAUCGACAAGGAGGUUUACGACCUCGAUGUUGGAUCAGGACAUCCUAAUGGUGUAGCCGCUAUUAAGGGUUCGUUUGUUCAACGAUUAACAGUCCUACGUGAUCUGAGUUCAGACCGGAGUAAUCCAGGUCGGUUUCUAUCUAUGAUAAAUUUUCCCUAGUACGAAAGGACCGGAAAAAUGAGGCCAAUACUACAAAGCACGCCUUCCCUAAAGUAAUGAACUCAACUAAAUUACUACCAGGUCAUACUCCACUAACCUAUAUCCUAGAAAAGGAUA
rnacentral:rRNA from 1 species